UACGUAGGGUGCAAGCGUUAAUCGGAAUUACUGGGCGUAAAGCGUGCGCAGGCGGUUGUGCAAGACAGAUGUGAAAUCCCCGGGCUUAACCUGGGAAUUGCAUUUGUGACUGUACGGCUAGAGUGUGUCAGAGGGGGGUAGAAUUCCACGUGUAGCAGUGAAAUGCGUAGAGAUGUGGAGGAAUACCGAUGGCGAAGGCAGCCCCCUGGGAUAACACUGACGCUGAGGUGCGAAAGCGUGGGGAGCAAACAGG
rnacentral:rRNA from 1 species